UCAUGCAACAAAUGUGUGCAUGAAACGUGUGCGCUCAAAACGUCAAUUUUUGAAAAUUGACGUUUUGAGCGCACACGUUUCAUGCACACAUUUGUUGCAUGAAA
rnacentral:miRNA from 1 species